rnacentral:rRNA from 1 species
UACGGGGGGGGCUAGCGUUGUUCGGAAUUACUGGGCGUAAAGGGCGCGUAGGCGGUCUGCUAAGUUGGAUGUGAAAACUCUGGGCUUAACCCAGAGCCUGCAUUCAAUACUGACAGGCUAGAGUUCUGGAGGGGAUAGCGGAAUUCCUGGUGUAGAGGUGAAAUUCGUAGAUAUCGAGAGGAACACCGGUGGCGAAGGCGGCGAUCUGGACGAUGACUGACGCUGAGACGCGAAAGCGUGGGGAGCAAACAGG